rnacentral:rRNA from 1 species
AAUGAACGCUGGCGGCGUGCUUAACACAUGCAAGUCGGAUGUGCCGCAAGGUUCAUGGCAGACGGGUGAGUAACGCGUAGGGAACCUACCUCUUUGUGGGGAAUAACGUUCCGAAAGGAAUGGUAAUACCGCAUGAGAUCCACGACUGGGAUGUUGUGGAUGAAAGCCGGGGAUCGAAAGACCUGGCGCAAGGAGAGGGUCCUGCGUCUGAUUAGCUAGUUGGUGGGGUAACGGCCUACCAAGGCAACGAUCAGUAGCCGGCCUGAGAGGGUGACCGGCCACACUGGGACUGAGACACGGCCCAGACUCCUACGGGAGGCAGCAGUAGGGAAUUUUGGACAAUGGGGGCAACCCUGAUCCAGCCAUGCCGCGUGAGUGAAGAAGGCCUUCGGGUUGUAAAGCUCUUUCAGCCGGGAAGAAAUCGCAUGGGUUAAUACCCUGUGCGGAUGACGGUACCGGAAUAAGAAGCACCGGCUAACUACGUGCCAGCCGCCGCAGUAACAC